AUGCGCCAUUGUUCUUCUUUACCAACUUUCUCAUUAUUUUUGCACUCUUGGUAUACUACAUUGUCAUACUGCCGCACCUAUACCAAGCUGAAAAAAUGUAUUAUCAAGAGGAUCAAAUGGAUAUGCAUCUGCAAACAAAUUAUACUACUAGUAGUGAUAGUGAGAAGACGAUGGUAGCUCCCAUCUUUG
rnacentral:ribozyme from 1 species